rnacentral:lncRNA from 1 species
AGCCUUCCUUUCUAGUCUCUACAGCUGUUUCCCUCUUUUCCCAUCUCAUUCUUCCCUCUUCAUUUCUGGCCUAUCUUUUAACAUCUCCAUCCCUUUGAUGCCUCAUCCAUCUCCUCUUCACCGUCUUGUCUUUGCCUGUUCCCUUUUCUGCUUCUCUGCUCCUCUUAAGGCUGGGUUUUCCUCCUGCGUCUCCUCUGUGCGCCUGUGAGUGUCCCCUGUCUGCUCAUCCUCUCUCCCUCUGUCCACCUGUUUCUCUUUCUUCCAGCGUUUCUCCAUCUCACGCGCUGCCUCUGUCAUUUUCUCUCUUUCUUCGUCUUUCUCUCUCUCUCAUUGUUCUGAGACAUAGCAGUGCCUGGCCCAGCGGGGACAACAUGUUUCACAGACAAAUCAUCCAACAAAAGAGAGGAGGAACGUGCUUCAGCUGGCUGUCCCCAUGCCUUCUGCUCCCGCUUCUGGAAGGGAAGACAGGGCAGGGACCAUGUCCAGCUGCAGAAAAUCCCAGUGUUUUUCUGUGGCAUUGCCUGGUAAAGGCUGAACGUGGCUUUCGUGAGAGCUAAUCUGCCUGCCCAACCAGAUUGUGCUGUGGCUAAAAUUGCUGUGAGCUCGACAGUGCCUGAAGACUGGAGAAAACUGAGCCAUGUCUUGGAUGCUCUUGCGGGGCCUAGGGGAGUGCCAGGCCAGAAGGAGAACUGCCUGUGGACUCUCAGUAGGAAAGCAGCUAACGAGGUGAUGAGUGAGUGUCGCCUGGAAGUCUGGGGGCCAUUCCAUGUGGGUCACAUCGCCUGACCAGAGGGUUGGGUGCCUGGACAGGGCUGAGCUUGGGACUCCUUCCAGGGCCUGGCCUCAGCUGCUGGGCCUGCCGAGCAUGCCCCACAAGCACCCACGCACACAUACAAGUAUGGAGGCAGAGUGGAAGUUUGACUUUUGCAGAUCUCGUACAGCCUGGAGUAGAGAAGAGAAUUGGGAACUCUCAAUGUUGUGUGACCCUAGGCAAGUCCCUUCCCUGCCUUGUGCCUCAGUUUCCCUUUACAUACCAUGAGGAUGUUCCCAGUGUUGGUGUUUUAAUGCCUGCAGACAAGCUAAGCUCAUCAUCUGGUUCCCGGAAGAGAUCCUCCUUUUGUGGAAAGGCCACAGCCACUCUGCCACCCUGAGGCUCCCACUCCUCCUUCUCUGGAACCCUCUCCCUUGCCUGUAGGUCACGGGAAUGUCAAGAGCACCCAGGGAAGUGCCUGCUGCCAGUCAUCACUCACUGAUUAUGUGACAGCAGAGGAGCCAAGAAGCUGCUGGGAAUCGAGACACCCCCCCAUUCAGUCCCCACCAUCUCUGUCUUCAUGAGGUUCCCUGGGAGAAGCUCCUAUGUCUGGGAAUGGAAAUGUCUCCACCUGGAUAGGGACAAACAGGAGCUGGGGGCUGCAUCUUAAGACUUCUUGUCCCAUUAGUGCUGACCUCUGGAGACGGCUCCUGAAUUGUGCCCACUCCCCCACCUCCUCACCACACACAUGCUCUGGGCCGUGCGAGGCUCAGCUUGUCACGGACAAGCUAAAAUGAGGUGGCCUGAAUGCCCCUUAUCAUAGACAGCUUAUCUCCUGUGGUCACUCACCUGACAGACUCCAGAGAGCCACUCAGCGGGCCUCUCCCAGCCGCCUGCUUCUCAGCUCUGACUCUCCCUUGCCUUAAGGGGACACUGGAUUCCAGUGACCCUCCUAUUGGUCAGAGUUGGGCUGAGCACAGAGAAGGGGUAGAAUGCUCCUGGGAACUCGGAAAGCUCUGGGAUGCCAGCUUUUCCCACAUGUUCUCACUCACCCCUCUGUAAUACAGAUUCUGCAGCCCUGCCCCCCACACACACACUCCUACACCUCUGCUCUCAAAGUGAAGAAGUAGGCUAAUAUCUGUGGUACAUUUAUUUACCUACUCCCUGAGACUGCAGCUCCCUUAGUCAGUGUUGUGUCCUCCACUCAGGCUGGGGCUCCCUGAGGAUGGGGCUGUGUCUCCCCUCAGACUGGGGUUCCCCAAGGACAGGGCUGUGUCUCUCCUUAGGCUGGGGUCCCUGAGGGUGGGGCUGUGUCUCCCUGCAGAUUGGGGCUCCCUGAGGAUGGGGCUGUGUCUCCCUGAAGACUGGGGCUCCCUGAGGACAGGGCUGUGUCUCCCCUCAGGCUGGGGCUCCUUGAGGAUGGGACACUUUAAAGAAGAGAAAUUGACAGGUUGACCCUGGGGGAUCUUUGGGUCAAUAAAACAUUCUAUAGACCCUCAGUGGUCAGACUAGGAUGAUA